rnacentral:rRNA from 1 species
UACGUAGGGGGCAAGCGUUGUCCGGAAUUAUUGGGCGUAAAGAGCGCGUAGGCGGUCCGAUAAGUCGGCUGUGAAAGUCAGGGGCUCAACCCUUGAAAGCCGGCCGAUACUGUCGGACUAGAGUCCGGAAGAGGCAAGUGGAAUUCCCGGUGUAGCGGUGAAAUGCGCAGAUAUCGGGAGGAACACCAAUGGCGAAGGCAGCUUGCUGGGACGGUACUGACGCUGAGGCGCGAAAGCGUGGGGAGCAAACAGA